CUUAAAUGAGUUCGCGACCAAAUGAUAUGCUAUUACUAGGAUGAUAGACAUAUCAAAUGUAGGUCGUUGUGUGCCAUAUAGGUUGGUUGUCCUCUUAACCAAAGAGCGUGGAAAUGCUGGUAUAGCAUGCAAGUGAAAUAUAGGAGUAUAUUUUACUGAACCUGACCAACUCCAGAGCAUUCUGCUAUCAAGAGUCACUCUGAAG
rnacentral:lncRNA from 1 species